GACAAACGCUGGCGGCGUGCUUAACACAUGCAAGUCGAACGGAAAGGCCCUGCUUUUGUGGGGUGCUCGAGUGGCGAACGGGUGAGUAACACGUGAGUAACCUGCCCUUGACUUUGGGAUAACUUCAGGAAACUGGGGCUAAUACCGGAUAGGAGCUCCUGCUGCAUGGUGGGGGUUGGAAAGUUUCGGCGGUUGGGGAUGGACUCGCGGCUUAUCAGCUUGUUGGUGGGGUAGUGGCUUACCAAGGCUUUGACGGGUAGCCGGCCUGAGAGGGUGACCGGCGACAUUGGGACUGAGAUACGGCCCAGACUCCUACGGGAGGCAGCAGUGGGGAAUAUUGCACAAUGGGCGGAAGCCUGAGGCAGAAACGCCGGGUGCGGGAUGAUGGGCUUCGGGUUGUAAACCGCUUUCGCCGGUGACGAAGAGUGAGUGACGGUAAUGGGUAAAGAAGCACCGGCUAACUACGUG
rnacentral:rRNA from 1 species